rnacentral:rRNA from 1 species
UACGUAGGGUCCGAGCGUUAUCCGGUAUUAUUGGGCGUAAAGAGUACGUAGGCGGUUAUGUAAGACAAUGGUUAAAGCUCCGAGCUCAACUCGGAAAUCGCCGUUGUGACUGCACAACUAGUCGAUAGCAGGGGCAAGCGGAAUUCUCGGUGUAGGAGUGAAAUCCGUUGAGAUCGAGAAGAACACCAAUGGCGAAGGCAGCUUGCUAGGCUAUAUGAGACGCUGAGGUACGAAAGCGUGGGGAGCGAACGGG